GGAAAGGUAUACCGCCCCAGGCUGGUAAACAGAGCAGGGAAAAGCCCUCGCUCUUGGUAGUGGGAGGAUCUCGUAUCAGAAUUCUGAUGUG
rnacentral:SRP_RNA from 19 species